rnacentral:rRNA from 1 species
UCGAGGGGCAGCGGGAUUGAAGCUUGCUUCAAUUGCCGGCGACCGGCGCACGGGUGAGUAACGCGUAUCCAACCUUCCGUACACUCAGGGAUAGCCUUUCGAAAGAAAGAUUAAUACCUGAUGGUAUGAUGAGAUUGCAUGAUAGCAUCAUUAAAGAUUCAUCGGUGUACGAUGGGGAUGCGUUCCAUUAGGUAGUAGGCGGGGUAACGGCCCACCUAGCCUACGAUGGAUAGGGGUUCUGAGAGGAAGGUCCCCCACAUUGGAACUGAGACACGGUCCAAACUCCUACGGGAGGCAGCAGUGAGGAAUAUUGGUCAAUGGACGAGAGUCUGAACCAGCCAAGUAGCGUGAAGGAUGAAGGUCCUACGGAUUGUAAACUUCUUUUAUAAGGGAAUAAAACCUCCCACGUGUGGGAGCUCGUAUGUACCUUAUGAAUAAGCAUCGGCUAACUCCGUGCCAGCAGCCGCGGUAAUACGGAGGAUGCGAGCGUUAUCCGGAUUUAUUGGGUUUAAAGGGAGCGUAGGCGGACGCUUAAGUCAGUUGUGAAAGUUUGCGGCUCAACCGUAAAAUUGCAGUUGAUACUGGGUGUCUUGAGUACAGUAGAGGCAGGCGGAAUUCGUGGUGUAGCGGUGAAAUGCUU